ACUGCUCAGUAACACGUGGACAACCUACCCAAAAGUCCGGGAUAACCCCGGGAAACUGGGGAUAAUACCGGAUAGAUCAUCUGUGCUGGAAGGCUGGGUGGUUGAAACUUCCGGGGCUUUUGGAUGGGUCUGCGGCUGAUUAGGUUGUUGCCGGUGUAACGUACCGUCAAGCCUGUAAUCAGUACGGGUUGUGGGAGCAAGAGCCCGGAGAUGGAUUCUGAGACACGAAUCCAGGCCCUACGGGGCGCAGCAGGCGCGAAAACUCUACAAUGCAGGCAACUGCGAUAGGGGAACAUCGAGUGAUCCUCAUAUUGGGGGUCUGUCCACCCGUCUAAAAAACGGGUGUUAGCAAGGGCCGGGCAAGACCGGUGCCAGCCGCCGCGGUAAUACCGGCGGCUCGAGUGGUGGCCGAUAUUAUUGAGUCUAAAGGGUCCGUAGCCGGCUUUGCAAGUCUCUCGGGAAAUCCAGCGGCUUAACCGUUGGUCGUCCGGGGGGUACUACAUUGCUUGGGACUGGGAGAGGUAGGAGGUACUCAGGGGGUAGGAGUGAAAUCCUGUAAUCCUUUGGGGACCACCGGUGGCGAAGGCGUCCUACCAGAACAGGUCCGACGGUGAGGGACGAAAGCUAUGGGCACGAACCGGAUUAGAUACCCGGGUAGUCCUAGCCGUAAACGAUGCUCGCUAGGUGUCACAACAGUCGUGAACUGUUGUGGUGCCGUAGGGAAGCCGUGAAGCGAGCCACUUGGGAAGUACGACCGCAAGGUUGAAACUUAAAGGAAUUGGCGGGGGAGCAC
rnacentral:rRNA from 1 species